UUUUUCUUUUCUCUGUGUGUGAUUGAGAAUAAAGUGUUAAACUUUAUCCUCUUGCGUCCUAUUCUUAAAGCAAUCCAGAAUGGCAGCACAGCUGAAAGGAAGAAGUAAUUUGAUCAUUAUGCAUCAUCAGAUACGACCUUAAUAUGAAAGCAGAGGCUAUGCAUCACGACGUAAAGGUGGUGAAGCAGUAUGAACAAACUCUGUUUUGAUCAGUCGACUGAACUGUCACGUUCACAUCUUGACGUGAGAAGAAACGUGCAUCAAAGAGCGAUGUUCCAGUGAAGAGGAAGCCAUCCAGGAAUCGUGUCAUGCUCUGUGACAUUGAAAAGCAGGACAAAAGUGAGCAUCGUGUUAAACCUCAUUGCCU